rnacentral:lncRNA from 1 species
GGGGGGGGGGGGGGGGGGGGGGGGGGGGGGGGGGGGGGGGGGGGGGGGGGGGGGGGGGCUCGGGGCCUGCUGCCGCCGUGCGGGGUUUGUUUAUCGAGCGUUUCGACCAUAAAUCAUAGUAUUGACAGUAGCGUUGUUCGGGAAGAGGCUCUUCUCCGUGCCCUCAAAGCGCGUGUUGCGGGUGAGGAGGGGUUUUUAGAAGGGUCUGGAGCGCACGUCACAUGAGGAGCAGCUGCGGGAGCUGAGGCUGUUCAGCCUGGACAAGAGGAGGCUCAGCAGGCACCUUCCCGCUCGACAGCUCCCUGAAAGGAGCUCGUAGCCGCAUGGGGGUUGGCCUCUUCCACCGAGUAAUAAAUGGUAGGACGAGUGCGAAUGGCCGGGAAACGGUCCCAAGUUGUGCCAUAGGAGGUUUAGAUGGGAUAUCAGGGAAAAGUCCCUCACAGAAAGGGUGAAACAUUGGAACCGGCUGCCUAGGGAAGUGGGGGAGUCACUGUCCCUGCAAGCGUUCAGAAAAGCUGUAACGAGCACUGAUAUGAACGUUUGGGGUUUGUUUGUUUGUUGUUGUUUUGUUUUUAAUCUGCCUUUUUAAAGGGAAUUGUACUUUAACAGAAUAGCACUAUUCCAUUAUUGCUGUUACAAGAACCCAGUGAUCUCGGGUGCCAGAGACGGGCGUGGUGGGAGCGCUGUCCCCCUGUUUACUCUGUGUUCCAGCAUUAGAGAAACGGCCAGAAAGUGAACGUGAGCAGAUCAGGAGUUAAGAAAAUGCUUAUCAAGGCCUUGGCACUCAGAGUUUCUGCCUGCAGAGAAACAAGAACAGAUGGAUACUUCCUUAACACCUGCUGCUGUGGGAGUCUUCUGAAACACUUGCAAGUAAGAAAUUAUUACUGCUAUAAAGUGUCUCUCAGUUUUAUUUGUUUAGAGCAUUUUUACAGAACAUGCAUGCAAUUUGUUUUAGGUUUCUCAACUUAGUUGUUGCUUUUGGAAAGCUGAGGAAGGAUCACUUA